AUGAAUGGUGAACGUAAGGUACACUGGAUAUCAUGGAAAAAAAUGUGUGCGGGGAAACGAGAUGGUGGCAUGGGGUUUCGUGACCCCGAGGCUUUCAACCAAGCUUUGCUGGCUAAGCAAGCAUGGAGAAUUCUACAGGUGCCAACUUCUCUUUGCGCGAGGGUACUAAAAGCUCGUUAUUUUGAGGAUGGAUCGGUCUUAUCUGCAACAGCACCACCCUCCGCAUCGUUCACCUUUAAGAGUAUUCUCCAUGGGAGGGAUUUACUAAAUGAGGGGAUUGUAUGGUGCAUUGGAGAUGGCAGUUUGGUGCAGAUCCAUCACGCAAAUAGGAUUCCAAGGGCAGGAAGUAUGCGGCCACUGGGUCAGCUAUACAUCCCAUGUAUUACCAAGGUUGCAGACUUGCUUGCACUUGAUGGUCGGGGCUGGGACAUGGCUAAGCUAUAUGCAAUGUUCUCUGCUGAGGAUGCACAUGACAUCAAGCAAAUAGCGGUUGGGGGCCCUGGAACGAAUGACUUUCAUGCGUGGAAUUUCACAAAGAAUGGAGAGUUUACCGUCAAGUCGGCGUAUCACUUGCGAAUGGCCAUGAGCAGAUCGGGGACCGGACAGCCGGGUCCCUCGAGGACGGUCGCACAACAUGGGGAUAUAUGGCAUUGUGGGAUACAAAUGCUCCAGCCAAGACAAAGAUCCAUAUGUGGAGGAUGA
rnacentral:rRNA from 1 species